CGGGAUGUAGCUCAGACCGGUUAGAGUACGUGUCUGGGGGACACGGGGUCGCCAGUUCGAAUCUGGCCAUCCCGACCA
rnacentral:tRNA from 1 species